rfam:Brassica oleracea var. oleracea cultivar TO1000 chromosome C9, whole genome shotgun sequence
CUUCUGCUGUGAUGAUCUUUUGAAUAAAAUUCACAUGUCAGACUUCAGAGAUUCAUUAAGAAUCAGUGAGAAUAAAUAUUCAUAACUCUGAGCAGUUU